UUGCGUUGCUGGAACAUGUCCAGAGGAGAGCCACAAAGCUGAGGUAGCUGAAAAUCCCAUCUACUUUCAUAUUGACACCCUUUCCGCAAGAGUCUGUGAGUUCCUUGGCCCUGUGGCACGUUUGUUUCUGCAAUGCAUUCUGCAAAAGCACUGCAUCCUCAUGGUACUUGAAGAAUACAUAAGGAAGAAUGCAAGGAGAAGAGAUUCACAGGGAGUAACCAUGUUGGAAACAAUGAUUUGUGAACAAUCAGACCUUAGAGGAGAUGGUGGGUGCUACUGGGAAAAGCACCCAUCAGAUGAGAAACCUGAGGGGAAGGGAUGUCAUAAGUAACUUCAGAACGGAUUUGAGCUUCAUUCUGGAGCAGUGCAACUGAAAGCAAAACUCAAGAGCUUGUCAGGAGCUGUGAAUGUAAGUUUGUGCUACGAUGAAUCACAUGACAAGAGGCACAUUUUUGGCUUGGCACGUUUUUCACAUGACAUCGAAAAGAAAAAUCCACAUACAGCUUAAUGUGGCAAAAAUUUCAACAAGCUUUCUAUAUUUCAGUGAGGAAAUCUGUUCGUUUCAGGCAAUUAGUGAUGAGGAUGUAUACCCGAAAUCUUGCACCUCUUGAGUUUCCAGUGUUGUCACGUUUGCAUGAGAAGUUGCUACACCGACAGAGCAAAUUAAAAUCCUGAC